rnacentral:rRNA from 1 species
CGACCGGCGCACGGGUGAGUAACGCGUAUGCAACCUGCCUGAUACCGGGGUAUAGCCCAUGGAAACGUGGAUUAACACCCCAUAGUACUUUUAUCCUGCAUGGGAUGUGAGUUAAAUGUUCAAGGUAUCGGAUGGGCAUGCGUCCUAUUAGUUAGUUGGCGGGGUAACGGCCCACCUAGUCUUCGAUGGAUAGGGGUUCUGAGAGGAAGGUCCCCCACAUUGGAACUGAGACACGGUCCAA